CCGGGAUUGUAAGACUUAUUUUAUUUUACUAAAAGAAAGUGGGAAAAUGUAAACAAUAUUUUUUUGGCUGUCAUUACAGGAGCUUAAUCGUCAAUAAUAAUGGACAAAUUGACUGUUGAUUAUACAAAAACUUAAACGACCAUCAUCAUUUAUCUUUUCCAACAUUAUUGCUGGAUUACACUACAUAUUUCUGUAAAAAAAAAUGAAGACAAUGAAAAAUUGUAUUGGCAGUUUUGUUCCUGUGAUACAAUGUUGUCCAUCCAUUUUGUUUUGGAAAAAAAAAACAGAUGCAGAUAAAGCAGAUUAGCCUAAGUACAUGUACUUUAAACAUGUUAAAAGCUGUAAUUGUGAGGUAA